AUCACGUGCCAAAACAAAUUCCGAUAUCAUAUAUUUUAAAUUCCAAUCAUUGGAAAAAUAUUUGAACUCUAUAUUGGAAAAAUUUCAUUUCAUUUAUACUUUGAAGAUGUCAACUAGUUUUGCAUGCAAAGAUAUUUUUUAUCAUUUGAAGAUUUAAAAUCUACUAUUAAGAAAUAUGAAGAUUCUCAUUUUGUGCAGUUGUGGAUUCGUGACGCAAAAACAAUUGAAGCAGCUCGAAAAACCAUUCCAAGAAAAGCUGCUUCAAUAGCUCCACAGAUAAAGUAAUAUUAUAUAAAGUACUGUUGUAUACAUGGCGGAAAAAAGUUUACAAAUAAAGGCAAUGGAAAACGUCAAACUUCAUGCAGUUCGACUCAAUCCAUUGGCAAAAAAAGCUACAGUUACUGAAGUAGAAGACGUAGUGCAGGAUUGGCUUCAAAACGCAAAAGAUAGGAGCCAAGGUCGCGCAAAGCGGAGAAGAUUAGAGUUGAACGACAAACUUGCAAAUAAUGUAGAAUAAAAGGAAUAAAAACAAAUGUAGAAUAAAAGGAAUAAAAAAUAUAAUCUUGGCUUUAUGAAUACUGAUAUCGGCCCAACGUCGUUUUACUGAUAUCGGCCCCACGAAAUCGGGCCUACAUCAUUCUGAUGAGCAAAAACUACGUUGGUCCGACGUAGUUAAACUACCAUCGGCCGCUGUAAAAGCCUACGUUGUGCCGGCGUCGGGCCAACGUGUAUAUGUUAUCUGGCUUGUUGUGUUCCCGAUGCGGAUCAUACUUAAUACCAGAAAUGAACGCCUACUCAACAUUUCUUUUUUAAUAAAAUGUUGUAUUUGUGUUGCAUCGCUUUAAAGAUAUACAAUAUGUCUUUGUGAUGCUAUAUUAACUGAAUUAAAAUUAAAAAAAUUAU